rnacentral:rRNA from 1 species
AACGCGGGCGGCAUGGCUAAAACAUGCAAGUCGAACGUGCCCGCAAGGGCAAGUGGCGAAAGGGUCAGUAACGCGAUCGAACGUACCCCGAGGUGGGGGAUAGGGCGGGGAAACCCGCCAUAAUACCCCAUGAUGUCUUCGGACCAAAGGUUUACCGCCUUGGGAGCGGCGAUCGUCCUAUCAGGUAGUUGGCGGGGUAAAGGCCCACCAAGCCUAAGACGGGUAGCGGGUGUGAGAGCACGGCCCGCGACAUCGGAACUGAGACACUGUCCGGACUCCUACGGGGGGCUGCAGUAACGAAUCUUCCGCAAUGGGCGCAAGCCUGACGGAGCAAUGCCGCGUGUGGGAUGAAGCGGCUACGCCGUGUAAACCACUGUCAGGGGGCAGAAACAAUGAUCGCCCCCAGAGGAAGAGCCGGCUAACCCUGUGCCAGCAGCCGCGGUAAUACAGGGGGCUCGAGCGUUAGUCGGAAUCACUGGGCUUAAAGGGUGCGUAGGCGGUCCGCCAAGUGCUCUGUGAAAUCCCACAGCUCAACUGUGGAACAGCAGGGCAAACUGGAGGACUUGAGGCAGGUAGGGGCCGGAAGAACAGUUGGUGGAGCGGUGAAAUGCGUAGAUAUCAACUGGAAUGCCGAUGGGGAAGCCGUCCGGCUGGGCCUGUCCUGACGCUGAGGCACGAAAGCGUGGGGAGCAAACAGGAUUAGAUACCCUGGUAGUCCACGCCGUAAACGAUGUGCACUAGACUGGUGCGGUUUUGACGCUGUAUCAGUCGCAGUAAAAACGAUAAGUGCACCGCCUGGGGAGUACGGUCGCAAGGCUAAAACUCAAAU